rnacentral:lncRNA from 1 species
AACGCAUAGUAUCAUUCAGAGCAAAAACCAAUUUGAGGGUGAGUCUUGGCUCUGCAUCUACUCUCAGUGAACAUGACCAAGACAUCCCCAUUCUCUGAUCCUCAUCUGGAAUCUAGGUAUUAUAAAUAACAAUUUCCAUAUUCUCUUCAGAGGGUUAUUUUGAAGCUCAUAAACGUUAUUAGUCAGGACAGUGCUUUGGAACCUGGCAGAUGCCCUGGUGCUGUGUGUUAUUGUCAUUGUUUGGGGUUCUGAAUGUAGGGAGCCUGUCUUACUGAUUUUAUGCCAUCCCCUGUCCCACCCCAUGUACAAGUGCUUAGCUAUCAUCCUGGGGAAACACAAAGCAAAUGUUUGCUGAGUUGAGCUAUAGAUUUAGAGAGAUAAUAGCCCUGGGAGGGUUGACUGAGUCCAGGUAGGGAAUCCCAUCGUGUGGCCAUCUGGAGCUUGGGUAUUGUUAGUUUGGGGGGCAUUUUUUUAGGGUACCCAAUCUGCAGGGAUCAAAGGUCACAGCCUAGGGCACCACAAAUAUUAAGAGGAAAUUUAGAGAUAGGAUAAGGUAGGGUGAAGAUUAAGAAAUCCUUAAGAGUGGGGAUGAAGGAAGCUCAGAUUUUUUUUAAUUAAAAAUUUUUUUAAAUUUAAAUUUUAGUUAACAUACAGCAUAAUAUUAGUUUCUGGAGUAGAAUUCAGUGACUUACCACUUACAUACAACACCCAGUGCUCAUCACAAGUGCCCUCCUUAAUGCCCAUCCCCUAUCUAGCCCAUCCCCCGCCCACCUCCCCCCAGCCAUCCUCUGUCCUUAAGAGUCACUUAUGGCUUGUUUCCCUUUCUUCUUCUUUUCUUUCCCCCUUCCCAUAUGUUCAUCUGUUUUCUUUCUUAAAUUCCACACAUGAGUGAGAUCAUAUGGUAUUUGUCUUUCUCUGACUGACUUACUUCACUUAGCAUUAUACACUCUAGCUCCAUCCAUGUCAAGAUUUCAUUCUUUUUGUAGGCUGAGUAGUAUUCCACUGUGUGUGUGUGUGUGUGUGUGUGUGUGUGUGUGUGACAUCUGGAUCCAUUCAUCAGUUGAUGGAAAUCUAGGGUCUCCAUAGAUUGGCUAUUGUGGUAAUGCUGCUAUAAAUGUUGGGGUGCACAUACCCUUUUGCCUCUGUAUUUUUGUAUCCUUUGGAUAAAUACCUAGUAGUGCAAUUGCUGGAGCAUAGGUUAAAAACUUCUAUUUUUCACUUUUUGAAGAAGCUCCAUACUGUUCUCCAUUGUGGCUGCACCAGUUUGCAUUCCCACCAACAGUGCAAGAGGGUUGGGGAAACUCAGAUUUUAAAAAUACUUGGGUACCUGUUGCCACUUUCAUUUACAAAUCAUCAUCUGGCUUCAUUUUUCCAACUGCCUUGUGAAUGUUAUCGUUCCCAUUUAGAGGUGAAGAGACGUGCUCAGACCUGGCACUUCCUCCAGCGCUCCAUAUUAACUCCCUGACCCUGGACUGAGGUCUUGAGGUCCCAUUGCCCUAAUGGAGCAGGAGUAAGAUGACCUUCUUAAAAGACCGGCUGACUAGUUUCUCAGGGGAGAGAAAACCAAUAGGUGUGGUGACUGUAAGAAAACAUUUGGUUGGAACUCACAGCUUGUCAUUCAGGAGUGAGCUCACAGCAGGGAAGAGAAGCCCAAUAGAACUUCCUGAGUCAUUGCCUCCCCACACCCCCAAGUUGGGGGUUGGGGGUGGGGCUGGUCCCUGCAUCUCCAGCCAGUAUAUCCACUCAACUCACAAACAUCCAUCCUGGUAGUGCAUAGGGUGGGGGGACACGCAGGGGCAGGGAGUCUGAAGGGAGAUGGGGAAGUAAACUGGUGAUCACCAGCAGCUGGCCUCCCCUCCUCCCCGGCCCCUGAGCCUCUAGCUUCCCAGGGGCAGGGGUGAGUCUGAUUAAAAACCGUUUGUCAGGACGUGCCCACCAGCUGCCGGCUGACCUCAGAGGCUGUUUAAUGUCCAGCAACACAAUGUCAGUCACAACCUUUGCCCUGUCGGCACCAUUGGAGGAUGGAGCUUAUUCCAAGAAGGAAAACAUCUUUAAAAUAGAAGCUAGCCUCCUCAGCCCACCCCUUGGCUCUUCCUGCAACUUCAAGGCGCUCGUUGAAGCCUGGAGGUGGCUGUUUUCCUUCUCCAGUAGAGCCAAGAAAGGGGCCAGGUGGGAGAUUUACCAAGUGGAGCAGACCACUGGGACCAAUUACUGUCUUGGAUCCCGUGAAAACAUUUUAAUUUCCAAGGAAAUGUCUCAGAAAGGCCCCUCACCCCUUUUACAAAGCGGGGAGGAUCCUCCUUAUUGUCAUGCCUUAGCCCCUGCCUGUUACCCACAAGGGCAGCACACUCUUCCAAGGCCAGAGCCACAUGCUGCAGUAAGGUAACCACAUGUGGCUGCUCAAAUUUAAAAUUAUAUUAUUUGACAUUAAGUACAAUUACUGUUUUAGUUCUUCACUUGCGCUAGGCAUGUUUCAAGUUCAGCCACAUAUGGCUGGUCCCUAUCAGACUGGACAGGACAGAUAGAGGAUAUUUCCAUCAUUGCAGAAUGUUCUUUUGGACAGCACUGGCCUAGAGCAAUGGUUCUCUACUCGGGCUGCCCAUUGCAUUCCCCUGGGAGCUUAUAAAAGGUCCUGAUGCCUGGCUGGGGCUCAAGCUAAGACUCAAAGUGAAUAGUUUAGGAUGGGAUUUGGCAUUGGGAAUCUUCAAAUGUUCCUUAAGUGAUUCUAAUGCAUGGUCAACACUGGUCUGCUGAGUACCAGACUUUACUUGUUAUAAAGAUCAUGUGGAGCUUUUUAAGAAAUGUACAGAUUCCUGGGAAACUUCCCUAAGGCUUCUGAUUCAGCAGGUCUGGGGCAGGUCUCAGGAACCUGUGUUUUUAUUAAGCAUAUCAAGUAAUUCUCAUGGUCAAGUGGAUUAGCAAAAAAAAAAAAAAAAGUUGUGGAAAGCUCAUGCACCUGUUAGGUGGGUUGUGCUGGGGCUUGAGUCAUAGGCCAUGCAGUCCAGCAAGGUGGGCUUUAGGUACACACCUAUGUCACAGGUAAGGAGAAUGAAAAUUCAGGAAAGGUGAAGUCCUUUCCCAAAGUCACUAGCCAGUAAGUGGCGGCAAUGGCCUUCAGGCGUUGUCUGAGUGUUAAAGAAAGUGGGUUCUGGAGUCGUUUUGGUGUUUAAGUGCCGUUAAAUGUGUGGCCUUGGACAAGUCACUAAGCCUCUCAAAGUCAAUUUUUCCUUCUUUGUAAAUUGGAAAUCACAGCGGUACAUAUCUCCUAAGGAUGUGGCAGUGGUUAAGUGAGAUCAUGCAGCUGAAGGACUUUGUGUGGUACCAGGGGCAUGGGAGGAGCAUUGGGUUACUGUCUGGAAGGCUUCUGGCCCUACUCCUGCUUCCAUAUGGGCGUGCGUGCUCUU